UCCGUCACGUGGCCUGCCCCUUCAUCCGUCACGUGGCCUUCUCACUGUCUCUCCUUUGUUUAGGACACCAGUCAUUAGAUUUAGGGCCUACCCUACCCCAACAGGACCUGCCCUUAAUUCCAUCUGCAAAGCCCCUCCUUCCAAAGAAGGUCCUUUUCUGAGGUUCCGGAUGGGUGUGAAUUUCGGAGGGAGCCUUUCCAGCUUAGCACAGCUACCAGAAAGGGGAACACUCAUUUCUUCAAUGAAAUGUCAAGACUGCAAGCUUGCCCGGGGAAGCCACGCUGUGGGGACACCUGCUCCAUGCUCCUGUCCCAGCCCAGCCUCCGAGGCACUGGCCUGAGGCCCUGUAAAAAUAAUGGAGCCUCAGGCCUCUCUCAAGCACCAUCAUCCAUCCUCUCUGCACAGUGCCAGGCGAGGCAGUCAUUCCAAAGCCCACGUGACAUCAGAGACUCUCAGGCUCAACACCUGGUCACAGAUGUGUCUCUGCUUCAGGGCAAAGGCCACAACUCCACCACACUUCAGACCCCUGGAAGCCAUGGCUGCUCCACUCCAGCCCCACCCUGGCCCAUCCACAGCUGGCAUAAGGGGGGCUCCUGCCCAAAGGAGGGUUCAGCUCACAGGUCAGACUCAGCUCAGGCUCAGCCUUGCAGUGCACCUGGCAGGUGCCUCCGCAGACCCUGAGCUUCUCCCAGCAGCGUUUGGCACCAGAUGUUGUAGAAUAAAUGGCAGCCAGACUAGCCACUGUGCCUGGAGGACAGGGCUGCCUCUGUCUUGGGCCUCCCAGCAUCCCCAGUCCUAACACAGCACCAUGCACACCUGGGUAGCUGUUCAUUAAAAUGAUGAGUCGGGCAGGGAGAGGCUGACUGCUCACUGCACCCUACUGGAGGUUUGCACUCACAACACUUGCAGAGCACCUGCAUCCUAGAACCAUGCAGAGCGGGGGCUCGGUGUCGUGGGGCCUGUCCCAAGAGCUCAGAGAGGAGAAGAGGGACACGUCCCCCCGAUGCAAACAUUGCCGUGGUUGGUGGGGCCCCAGACAAGGAAUGAGGGGAGCCUAGCAGAGGGCCAAGCCCUGCCAGUCCAAGCGUGCACAGCUGGGCCGGGGGGCUCCAGCGCAGAGCCCCACCCUGGCAGUGGUGUGCAGAAGGGGCUAAUGCCGCAGGGCUGGGUUGUAUGAACUCGGCCCAUUGCAAAGAAGGGUUUGGCCCUUGAUUGGCUUCUGGGAGGUGAGCUCGAGGCCUUGGGAUGUCCUGUUGAAUUGGACCAGUUCCGUUUAUCUGGGGGCCUAGGGCACAUGGUCUCAGCUUGGUCUCUGGAGGGUGGGAGGCACAGGGCAGCCACGUGGACAGUUGGCCACACCAGUGUGACUGAGGCCAGGGCAAGCCCCAGGCUCCGAGGCUCAGCUGAGCUGCCCUGGUUGGCUACACGUCCUGUGUGUAGUCACAUUGAACAGAGAAUGAAACGGUACCCUCGGAAGUCCACCCAGAGUGAGGAGAGCCGGGUGCUGGGGCUUGGCUCCUCCUGACCCUGCCCUUUGUGCCUCUGUCCCUUCACCGACCCUAAUCUGUAACCUUUCCUGGUAAUGGCCCAUCGCUGUGAGGAACACAGCUUAUCAGACUUCUGUGAACCCUUCUGGCUUUGACGCCAGAGGCUCAUGGGGAACCCUUGAAAGCCAUUCUCACUGGGUGACACCAAGCAAUGAGGAGAACCAGUCAGGAGAGGGAAACUGGGCCACGGAGGCUUUGGGCGAUGUGGCUCAGGCCCCCCCACCCCGCCAACAUGGAGCCGAGGGCCCCCAACCUGGGCCUCAGUGCUCUGGGCCAUAGUGCCCAGCUGUGUGGAGGGGAGACCUCACCUGGACCGAGCCCCCACGCCAUGUGCCCACUCCAUCCCCUCCCCAUUGAUCACAGAAAGCGAGGAGCCCCAAACCGCUUUCUCCAUUUACAAGCACUCUCAUUCAUUGGCCAAAGAUCAAACUGGCACCCACAAUCAGGAAGCCACAGUGGUGACCAGGACAGAGCAGGCCACCCCCACGGAGAGGCCCUGGUGGCUCAAUCAUUCAGGAACAGGCGCUGGGGGCUGUCAGGUGCCAGGCCCUGUCCUAGCUCUGGAGACUUAGCAGAGAACAUGGCAGACUCCACCCCUGCUUCACGGGAGAGUGAUGGACAGUGAAUAGCCAAAUUACAGGGUUGAGCAGGGGUCCAGUCGUGGAGAGAAAGGCAACU